GGGAUAACUACUGGAAACGGUAGCUAAUACCGCAUAAUGUCGCAAGACCAAAGUGGGGGACCUUCGGGCCUCACGCCAUCAGAUGUGCCCAGAUGGGAUUAGCUAGUAGGUGGGGUAAUGGCUCACCUAGGCGACGAUCCCUAGCUGGUCUGAGAGGAUGACCAGCCACACUGGAACUGAGACACGGUCCAG
rnacentral:rRNA from 1 species